GAUGAACGCUGGCGGCGUGCCUAAUACAUGCAAGUCGAGCGAACAGACGAGGAGCUUGCUCCUCUGACGUUAGCGGCGGACGGGUGAGUAACACGUGGAUAACCUACCUAUAAGACUGGGAUAACUUCGGGAAACCGGAGCUAAUACCGGAUAAUAUAUUGAACCGCAUGGUUCAAUAGUGAAAGACGGUUUUGCUGUCACUUAUAGAUGGAUCCGCGCCGCAUUAGCUAGUUGGUAAGGUAACGGCUUACCAAGGCAACGAUGCGUAGCCGACCUGAGAGGGUGAUCGGCCACACUGGAACUGAGACACGGUCCAGACUCCUACGGGAGGCAGCAGUAGGGAAUCUUCCGCAAUGCGCGAAAGCCUGACGGAGCAACGCCGCGUGAGUGAUGAAGGUCUUCGGAUCGUAAAACUCUGUUAUUAGGGAAGAACAAAUGUGUAAGUAACUAUGCACGUCUUGACGGUACCUAAUCAGAAAGCCACGGCUAACUACGUG
rnacentral:rRNA from 1 species